GCGCGCUGGUGGAGAGCGGGAGCUUGGGCGAAGAAUGGCUGCUAUUCACGGUGGAGUCUGCAGCAGGACUUGGUGUGCAGCCCAGAGGGUGCUGUUUGGUGGUGCUUGGGAUCCAGCAGGGCACCCCUGAGAGUCUUGGCUAGCAUGGAGUUGACAGUCUACAUACCCUUGCUACUCAAAAUGCGGAGGACUGGCAGCUUCGGCAUCCCCUGGAAGGCGAAUAGAAUCAGGGACAUUCAGCCCUGUCCCAGCGCUGCUGAACUGGAAUCUGUAUUUUAACAAGGGGUACCUCUGACCUCACAGUGUGGCUUUGAGGAGUCAUCGAAUAAGAAAGCGGAUGGUGAAGAGCUGCCAGAGGGGCUGCCUGGGUAAGCGGCCAGGGUACAAGGGAUGGUAAAUAGUAGGCACACAUGCCAUCCCUCCCCACUUCUGAGCCCACGGCAGACAUCACUAGUUGAUCACUGCACUUCCGCUCCCUGAUCGUGAACCUGUCUCAGAGCUCCUCUCAGGCCACAGUGCUCCAGGCAGCCGCUCCCAGUCCAGCACACCUUUCAUCUUUACAUCGUCUGCUGAGAAGCUUCUGCUCCAGAGUCAGGCAUCUCCAGGAAAAGCCAGAGCUUGGGUAAACACGGUAGCAGGAAAUCAGGUGGGGGUGGGAGAGGAGACCCAGCCAGGAUAAAGGGCUCUUAGUACCAAACGGACCAUGGACGGUGUCUGCAGCAUGUAAGAGCCCCUGGAAGCUGGCCAGGCAUGCAGAGCGCGGUCAGAGGAACAGGCACCAGGACAGGGGCUCCUCUUGGCUGAGCCACUGCCCUGGAUCAGGGACUUGCCUCUGCAUCUCAUCCUAUGGGCAUGAAGCCUCUGGGGGGUCUGCACCACUAUUAUCUCCACCGUACAUACAAUGAAACUGAGGCUGGUGGAGGCUAUAGUCAAGGGGGCAUGGAGCUGUCAUCGGGACCCAAGUUUGCCAGACGCAAAAGCUCACAUUCUCCACUCUGCCAUUCAGAAAUAGGGCCUGUUUCCUUGGGCCCUUCUCCAGAGUGGGGCUGCGCCCGGGGGCGACCUGUUCUGGCCCCGGCACGCCGGAGCCGGAAGGCUGGGUCCCUGCCACGGCACGAGGCAAGCAGACCGGGGAGAUUUGCUGGCACUGGUUUGUCUGCUUUUCCAAUCCCUGAGGCAUUUGAGUUUGUGAACCUUGGAACAGGGGACAGAACCCUGGGCGAGAGUCCCUCUCGGCCACUCUCUUUUAUGGCAUAACCCCAGGCAACUCUCUGCCCCUUUCUGGGGCUCAGUUUACCCAUCUAUGACUGAGAGCCUUGUGACUCAAGGUGGAUCUGCAAAGUGCCAGCAUCGGAGCCCCUGGGGAGCUUGUUAGAAGGGCUGAAUCACAGGCCACUGGAUUAGAAUCAGCAUUUUCCCAGGGCCCAGGUCAUCCACAUGCUCACGGAGGUUGUAGAACCAUCCAGUUCACGAGUCCUGGAGUCUCUUGCACACCCAACAACUGAGCAUCCUGCAGAUCACAAAGUCAGCACCUGAGGCUUGGCUAAAGCCCACGCUUGCAGCUCAGGCUGGUCGUUCCAGCCAGGAAGGCUGAGCUGGGAAUGCCAGGUGAGCCCUCGUCGGGGAGGGGGGCGGGCCUGCAGGAGCGACUGUGUGCAGGCCCACAGUGGCCGGGAGAACCCAGCCAGCCAGGCUGCCGCGUGGAGUUCCCAGUCUGCGGCGGGAGGCCAGGCAUACCAACACAGAAGCAACUCAGGACAGC